rnacentral:rRNA from 1 species
GACGAACGCUGGCGGCGUGCUUAACACAUGCAAGUCGAGCGGUAAGGCCCUUUCGGGGGUACGACGAGCGGCGAACGGGUGAGUAACACGUGGGUGACCUGCCCUCAGCUCUGGGAUAAGCCUGGGAAACUGGGUCUAAUACCGGAUAUGACUCCAUGACGCAUGUUGUGGGGUGGAAAGCCUUGUGCGGCUGAGGAUGGGCCCGCGGCCUAUCAGCUUGUUGGUGGGGUGANGGCCUACCAAGGCGACGACGGGUAGCCGGCCUGAGAGGGCGACCGGCC